AAACAGUGUAAAUAACUAUACCAAUAUUAAGAGUCUCCAAAUUUUAUAAGAGUCAGAUAGUAAAUAUUUUAGGCUUUGCAGUUCUUACAGUCUGUCACAACUACUCAGCUCUGCUAUUGUAGGGCACAAGCAGCAUGGGCAAUAUGUAAAUGAAUGAGUAUGGCUAUGUUCUACUAAAACUGUUUACAAAAACAGAUGGUGAGCCAGAUUUGCACCCCCCCCCCCCGGCUAUUAUUUUUCGACAACUGCUAGUCUGUACUACUGUCCAUAAAAGGGAGUUCUAUUGUCAGAGAUUUCAUGGUCUAAACACAGCCCCCCCCUUUUUAAAAACAGUGAAAAAUACCUCAGUAUGAGUUAACAGUGAAGUCAUAAGGUUAUGUUUCCCGAAAUUGAUAGACUUUCUUAUUGUAGAAGAGAAUGGUUUUUAUAUGCCACAGUUUAACAUAUAACUUUAAUGCUUACCAUACUUUUUAAUAUGAUAAUGCUUACCAUACUUUUUAAUACUGAAAAUUAAAGGUUUGGUCCCACCAAACAUUUAGAUGAAUUACACUAAACGGUCAGUAAUAAUUAGGAUAUAUUGACUUCUGUAUUACUCAUUUGGAAAAUCAUAGUGCAUUUUAGUAUAUGUAAAACCUGUGAAGAUUCUUCUGUACAGAAACUGUUCAUCAUUAUUUAUCCCUGUCCAUGCAUUUCUCAAAAUGAAUCACACAACUCUUCACAUAACACUUAAUGCUGUCUCUAGAACUAUUCAGAAGACAGUAUUCUGAUAAUAUCUAGUUUAGGUAAGGAAAUUAAAGAGCCAGAAAACUUUCACUGACAUGUGAUCAGAGAUAGUGCAGUUACUUGGCAGUAAUUCUGGAAGAAGUACUUGUACCUCUUCCUCUGGAUUUCGAGGAGUCUUGUUUUUCUCUUUCUUUUUACUCUUUUUUUUUUUUUAAGCUAUUAUUGGGAAAUAAUUUCAAGUUUACAAAAAAGUUGUAAGAGUAGUACACCCAUACAUACCAAUUGUUAACAUUUUGCCCAAUUUGCUUUAUUGUUUGCUUUUUCGUAUGCUAUCAUGUGUUGUAUGUGUUUGUAUAACACAUGCACAUACAUAAUAUAUUUUUCCAAACCAUGUGAGACCAAAUUGUCUACGUCAUGGUCCUUUAUUCCUAAAUAUUUCAGUGGGUAUUUAAUCUUUUAUGAUACAGAUAGUUUUUGAAGAUUACAGUCUCUUUAAUUUUUUUUUAUUUUUAACAGAGGAUCCCAUUUUGAGUUUGAUGUUUUCUCAAUUAGAUUCAGGUUUUGCACUCCCAGGUAGAAUAUUACAUAAAGGAUGUCAUAUUCUCAUGGUAUCACAUCUGGAGGCACGUAUACCUAUCUGUCUCUCAUUGAUAAUGUUAGUUUUGAUCACCUAGUCAAGGUGUGGACCAGUCUCUCCACUGUAUAGUUACAUCUUGCAUCUAAUAAGCGAUCUAAUAAGCAACUGCAUCUAAUAAGCAAUCUGAGGGGAAUCUACAUCUUUUGGGGAAUUAAUAUAAUGAAGUUGUUAAGAGUUCAUACUAGAGUCACAGCUGGGUUUGAAUCCAGCUAAUUGAAUGAACUUAGGCAAGUUUACUGAUACGUGAAAUAGGGAUGAUAGUUGCCACAUCUUUUUCUGUGUGUGUAUAUAACAUACAUUGUUAUGAGCUUUAAAUGAAAUAAGAUAUACCAAGGCCUGGCAUGUAAUAAAUGUUCAGUACAUGUUGGCUAUUACUAUUUUAGUUCUGGAAAGAUGAAUUAAUAGACACAGUAAUAAAUUCUAAGGCUUUAUACCCAAAGUUAUAAAGGAUUUCAUGAAGUUGUUUCUUCUGAGUAGAUUAAUAUUUUAUCUGGGGCACCUAGGUGGCUCAGUCAGUUGAGUGUCCAGCUGUUAGCUCAGGUCUUAGUCUUAAAGGUCGUGAGUUCAAGCCCCACAUUGGGCAUCACGCUGGGCGUGAGCCUACUUUAAAAAAAAGAUUAAUAUUUUAUCCAAGAUGAAUGACUUUUUAAAAAUAUCUUAUUAUUGAGCUUGUUCUAAUUCUUGGUAUUCUUCCCUACCUAUUGUGCUCUGUCCCUUCUGGUAUGUGUGAGGCAGGUAGUUUAAGGGUGAAACCCCUAUCAGGAAGUUUUUUUCUGAAUUCUUACUUGCUUAGUUUUCAAUUUCAUGAAGAUUUUAAUUGAAUUUUUAUGAAAUAGACAUUUUAAAAAUCACCUGUACCUAUUUUCUAUUCUACCACUAUGAAAGUGUCAUAUAAUAGCUGUAAGAGACUUUCUGAAAGAGGUAGAUAUCCUAGUAGAAUUAUAAGGAGUAGAGAGAGGUUUAAAUGGACUUAAAGACAGGGAAUAUCACAUAGGUAUCACUAACAAGUUCUUUUAGGUGUUCCCUGUGGUUGGAGUGUGAAAAUCGGUAAAAAGUAAUAAAGUGUUAGACUGGAAGAAUUAGCUAGAGCUAGAUCAUGAAGGACCCUGUUCGCCAUGCCAAGAAGUUUGAAUUUCCUCAUGAAGGCAGUAGACAGCCAAGGGUUAAAUGUCAGAGUGAUGGGAUCUAACUUUUAGAAAGGCCCCUGGCAGUAGCGUUAGAAGGGAAUUAGAGGAUAGUGAUACUAGAAGUAAGAAGGCUAGUUGCUGCCUGAACUGUAACAAUAGGAUUAAAAAAAAACUGAAUAAUUUCUAGACAUAAAAUGAAUGA